rnacentral:rRNA from 1 species
UACGUAGGGUGCAAGCGUUGUCCGGAAUUAUUGGGCGUAAAGAGCUCGUAGGCGGUUUGUUGCGUCGGCUGUGAAAGCCCGGGGCUUAACCCCGGGUCUGCAUUCGAUACGGGCAGGCUAGAGUGUGGUAGGGGAGAUCGGAAUUCCUGGUGUAGCGGUGAAAUGCGCAGAUAUCAGGAGGAACACCGGUGGCGAAGGCGGAUCUCUGGGCCAUUACUGACGCUGAGGAGCGAAAGCGUGGGGAGCGAACAGG